CGUGGGUAACCUACCCCGGGGACCGGGAUAGCCACUCUAACGAGUGGGUAAUACCGGGCGAUCUGACGGCGUCGCAUGGCGCUUUCAGGAAAUGAGUUUCGCCUCGGGAGGGGCUCACGUGCUAUUAGCUAGACGGCGGGGUAACGGCCCACCGUGGCAAAGAUGGCUAGCGGGUGUGAGAGCACGACCCGCGCCACUGGCACUGAGACACUGGCCAGACACCUACGGGUGGCUGCAGUCGAGGAUCUUCGGCAAUGGGCGCAAGCCUGACCGAGCGACGCCGCGUGCGCGAUGAAGGCCUUCGGGUUGUAAAGCGCUGUCGAGGGGGAGGAAGACCCGCAAGGGUUUGACCUAUCCCUGGAGGAAGGACGGGCUAAGUUCGUGCCAGCAGCCGCGGUAAGACGAACCGUCCUAACGUUGUUCGGAUUCACUGGGCUUAAAGGGCGCGUAGGCGGGCUGCCAAGUCCGGGGUGAAAUCUUUCGGCCCAACCGGAAAAGUGCCUUGGAAACUGGCAGCCUCGAGGGGGGUAGGGGCCCGCGGAACUUCGGGUGGAGCGGUGAAAUGCGUUGAUAUCCGAAAGGAACGCCCGGUGGC
rnacentral:rRNA from 1 species